UACGGUGGGGGCAAGCGUUGUUCGGAAUUACUGGGCGUAAAGGGCUCGUAGGUGGCCAACUAAGUCAGACGUGAAAUCCCUCAGCUUAACUGGGGAACUGCGUCUGAUACUGGAUGGCUUGAGUUUGGGAGAGGGAUGCGGAAUUCCAGGUGUAGCGGUGAAAUGCGUAGAUAUCUGGAGGAACACCGGUGGCGAAGGCGGGAUCCUGGACCAACACUGACGCUGAGUGAGCGAAAGCCAGGGGAGCAAACGGG
rnacentral:rRNA from 1 species